GGCCGCGUGGCGUAAUGGAGAACGCGUCUGACUUCGGAUCAGAAGAUUGCAGGUUCGAGUCCUGCCGCGGUCG
rnacentral:tRNA from 1 species